rnacentral:rRNA from 1 species
GACGAAGGGGGGCUAGCGUUGUUCGGAAUUACUGGGCGUAAAGAGCUCGUAGGUGGUUUGUCGCGUUGUUCGUGAAAACUCACAACUCAAUUGUGGGCGUGCGGGCGAUACGGGCAGACUGGAGUACUGCAGGGGAGACUGGAAUUCCUGGUGUAGCGGUGGAAUGCGCAGAUAUCAGGAGGAACACCGGUGGCGAAGGCGGGUCUCUGGGCAGUAACUGACGCUGAGGAGCGAAAGCGUGGGGAGCGAACAGG